AGCCUUGACGGCCGUACUCCCCAGGUGGCAGACUUAUUGUCUUCACUGCGGCACUGGAUAGGCCCGAAGCCUAUCCAACACCUAGUCUGCAUCGUUUACAGCUGGGACUACCCGGGUAUCUAAUCCGGUUCGCUCCCCCAGCUUUCGUCCCUCACCGUCGGGCGCGUACUAGCCGAGCGCCUUCGCCACUGGUGGUCCUUCCGGGAUUAUAGGAUUUCGCCCCUACCCCGGAAGUACCCUCGGCCUCUUCCGCCCCCAAGCCUAUCAGUAUCUUCGGCGAUCCCACGGUUGAGCCGUGGGUUUUAGCCGGAGACUUAGUAAGCCGGCUACGGACGCUUUAGACCCAAUAAACGUCCCGACCACUCGCGGAGC
rnacentral:rRNA from 1 species